GCACGGAACAACUGCUUAGAUAUUUCAUACCUAGCAGUCCUGCUUUGUUCUCCAUACAACUCUUUUAAAUUGAGAAGUAUGGAUUGAGUGUCCAUGCCUUCAUGUUGCCUCUAUAAUUCAUUGCUCAUAGAGGCAAGUAUGAUACAUUUGACAGUCAAACUAUCAUUUUUCCACAUCUUAUGUGUGGCAACCUCCUCUUCUGUAGCAUCAUCCCCUAGAUCUCCAAGAUCAGUGGUUUCAAGUAUAUAGAAAAUUUUCUCCUGAGUGAGUACUAUCUUUAAAUUCCUCAACCAGUCCACAUAGUUUGGUCCGGUCAACUUGUUGGCAUCUAAGAUGCCUCUUUGUGAAAGUGAAGAAGCCAUUUAAUAAUUCUACAUAUGCAAGAACAAAACUAACAUAAGCAGACCAAUCAUGA
rnacentral:lncRNA from 1 species